GUCUUCGUGGCUCAGUUGGCUAGAGCGUUGGUCUCAUAGAAAUAUGAUUCGAUCCAAGAUCGGGUAAUCCAAAGGUCGUGAGUUCGAGCCUCACCGAGGACA